UGAUCGAAUGAGUGUCUUAGAUUGUAAGCUCCCAGUGGGCAGGAGCUGUGUCUCCUGCACCCAACUUGCCCAAGAAGGUGCUUAAUGAGAUGGGGUCUGACUCAUCAGAUCAAACUUUGGGUCAGACGCCUCCAUUAGGCUCUAUUGUGGGGGAGGGGAGGAGGGGCCGGGUGAGGGACCAGCCUGGCACUGGGUAAGUAUUCAGGGCCUCGGCUACAGGAAGAGAGAAAGCAGAAGCCCAUCUACUCUCUGCCCCCUGGAGCUCUCCCAGACAAUCCUGCUCAGAGGGGCCAAGGAAGGAGCCUGAGCCCCAGAUGCAUCCUGGGAGACCCAGCCCCCUGCUCCAUCCCCACCUCCCCACGGACAUGUUGGUGCAGACAGGACGGUUGCUUCCUACUCCCUGGGUGGAGGACUGGGCUGGCACUCUCCCCCGUGGUGGGCUAGAAGACACCUCAUCAACCAAUCAACGGUCACAUCUGUCCUCAGGAAGCCGCAGCGCAGCCCCGAACCGGACCACCUCGCCCC